GAAAGAGACGCCGUGAGCCACUGCGCCUGCACCAAACUCCUACGGGGGAUGACCUCGGACAGGGGGUCACCCACCUGGCUUUCGGGGGCUUCGACUCUAGCCGCAUUCCAACUCCGCUUGCUGGAGGGGAGUUAACCAGCUUCCUUCCUCUAAGAACUUUGGCGGAUCUUCACUAACCCAAAGGGCAGAUUCCUUACCCCCACUAUGAGGUGGUGCAACGAAUUCUCAGCCAGUGAUGCCGUAAAGCUUCCGUGGAUACUAAUAUGAGAAGACAGUGUCACUCGGUACCAGGACCCUCACAAAGUGGCGAGACUAAGAAAAUACUGACAUCUAACUUCACUAACUUUCAUCCAGAGAAGGGCGUGCAGAGUGUUGUCACAUGCUAAUGCCCCAUGUAUGAUCACGUCCUGCACAACCUGCCAGCAAUACACAAUGCCCCCGAAGGCCGGGCAUUCGCUUUAGCAAAUGUGCACCUCUCUCGAGGAGUGGGGACCUUAGGAGUUUGAAUGAGAAAUGCCACUGUUUGCACAUUCUGUCAGGUGCACGGGUCUGGCUCUUCAGACAUGUUAUAGGGAAGACUUACUGUGGUUAUAUGCGGACAGCAGUUUGCAUGGAGCUUCAAUAAAGGGAUCGAACACAGAACAGCAGAAUCAAAUCUAAUCUCAGGAUGGGCAUUUUAUAGGCCACGCCUGCUGUACCUCUUAGUUUUCCCCUUUCUGGUCGUAUCAACUUCAAGUAACAAUGAUUGACUCCUAGCUGUAGGAGGUGACAACCUGUGAAAAGUGGCUGCCAAUUAUACAAAGAAUUAGUA